rnacentral:lncRNA from 1 species
AUGCCAUCCUCUAAUUAUCAGAGACUAAAAGGGCCAAGGACUGCACUCCAGCCACACACUCAAUAUUCUCACAGGCAUCACACCCACUUGCCAUUUCCUAGCAAUGACAGAAAAUCAAGAGGAAAAUCAGAAACGAUAUGGAAUGUCGGAACAGGAUUCUGCCUGAAAGCAGUGUACGCAAUGAAGAAGCCCAGCCUUUGGAGGAAUUGGUCUUAAGGGUUCUAAGUACCAGGGAGGACUGGAAGGAAUUUCGGGAAGACAUAACGUGUGUCUACAAAAG